rnacentral:rRNA from 1 species
UACGUAGGGGGCAAGCGUUGUCCGGAAUCAUUGGGCGUAAAGAGCGUGUAGGCGGUCCGGUCAGUCGGUUGUGAAAGUCAAGGGCUCAACCCUUGAAUGCCGGCCGAUACUGCCGGGCUAGAGUCCGGAAGAGGUGAGUGGAAUUCCUGGUGUAGCGGUGAAAUGCGCAGAUAUCAGGAGGAACACCGAUGGCGAAGGCAGCUCACUGGGACGGUACUGACGCUGAGACGCGAAAGCCAGGGGAGCAAACAGG